rnacentral:rRNA from 1 species
CCCUUAGAUGUCCUGGGCUGCACGCGCGCUACACUGACGCACGCAACAGGUGCCUGCUCCGAGAGGACUGGGUAAUCAUUUGAGUGUGCGUCGUGAUGGGGAUAGAAUAUUGUAAUUAUUACUCUUCAACGAGGAAUUCCUAGUAAGCGCCAGUCAGCAGCUUGCGCUGAUUACGUCCCUGCCCUUUGUACACACCGCCCGUCGCUCCUACCGAUUGAACGGUUUAGUGAGGGCCUCGGAUUGGUCUCGGCCCGCUCUUUACCGGGCGGCGCCGUUGGUCGAGAAGACGCUCGAACUUGAUCGUUUAGAGGAAGUAAAAGUCGUAACA